rnacentral:rRNA from 1 species
GAUGAACGCUGGCGGCGUGCCUAAUACAUGCAAGUCGAGCGAACAGACGAGGAGCUUGCUCCUCUGACGUUAGCGGCGGACGGGUGAGUAACACGUGGAUAACCUACCUAUAAGACUGGGAUAACUUCGGGAAACCGGAGCUAAUACCGGAUAAUAUAUUGAACCGCAUGGUUCAAUAGUGAAAGACGGUUUUGCUGUCACUUAUAGAUGGAUCCACGCCGCAUUAGCUAGUUGGUAAGGUAACGGCUUACCAAGGCAACGAUGCGUAGCCGACCUGAGAGGGUGAUCGGCCACACUGGAACUGAGACACGGUCCAGACUCCUACGGGAGGCAGCAGUAGGGAAUCUUCCGCAAUGGGCGAAAGCCUGACGGAGCAACGCCGCGUGAGUGAUGAAGGUCUUCGGGUCGUAAAACUCUGUUAUUAGGGAAGAACAAAUGUGUAAGUAACUAUGCACGUCUUGACGGUACCUAAUCAGAAAGCCACGGCUAACUACGUG